CUAGACCUAUUGAAGAGCUGGCUACCAGUGGGGAAGGAUCUCAUCUGGAGAUCCCUCCUUCUGGUGCUUUCUGUAGGUGAGCCUAGCAUACAGCUCUGCUGCAGGCUGCCUUGAAGCCUUCGCUGCACAGGGCCGUGUGCUCCAGCGGGACUUCUUGCUCACAGCCACCCCCUGGUCUGACUGACCUUCUCCAAGGACACACAGACCACUCUGGAGGCUCAUCAGCUCAUUCCCUUCCGGCUGGGAACCACCACGACUGUCAGCACAGCAGCAUGUGUGAGAUGUUCAGCUAGGAUGUAUGGGAACUACUGAGUCAUGGCCUGAACCUCUGAUUGAU